AACUGUCAUGUCUUCAGGCUUUUAGAGAAGUGUUUACUGUGAUAUCAACAGAGACAUUUUGUGUAUUGAUUAGAAUUUUGUAUUUUCUUCCAGAGUAAGUCAGUGUCAUCAACAGACAGCCAGCCGGCUGAGGAGCGCCAGGGCCCAUCAGGAGGUUAUGCUUCCUCGCAGGGAGGAGCUGAACCCAAGAGGAGGCGCUGUGACGACAAAGAGCCACUUCCACCACACUCCUAUGACAGUGAUGGAGACAAGAGUGAAGAUAACCUUGUAGUGGAUGUCUCCAAUGAGGAGCCUAACUCUCCUGCUGGCAGCCCUCCUCAUUCACCACAUGGGAACGGGUUAGACCGGGCCCCCACCCUGAGGAAAGAACUUCCUGGCUCCUCGAGUGCGGGCGAGGCCCCCUCCACCCCAAACCCCCGCAGUCCCACCCCAGGGAAGGCCAAGGAUUCUGCUCAGGUAAGACAGACACAGCUACUCAGAAAGAAGGUGCACUCUGCCAUCUGAGAGAAAUGUUCUUCUCUAAAUCACUGUAAUUUAU
rnacentral:lncRNA from 1 species